rnacentral:rRNA from 1 species
GAGUUUGAUCAUGGCUCAGGAUGAACGCUGGCGGCAGGCUUAAUACAUGCAAGUUGAACGGUAACAUGUUGUAGCAAUACGAUGAUGACGAGUGGCGCACGGGUGCGUAACACGUGUGUAACCUACCUUAUACAGGAACAUAACGUUGAGAAAUCGGCGCUAACAUUCCAUAAUAUUAUUUGUAGGCAUCUAUGAAUAAUUAAAACUCCGGUGGUAUAAGAUGGGCACGCGUUCCAUUAGCUAGUUGGUAAGGUAACGGCUUACCAAGGCAACGAUGGAUAGGGGUUCUGAGAGGAUAAUCCCCCACACUGGAACUGAGACACGGUCCAGACUCCUACGGGAGGCAGCAGUAAGGAAUAUUGGGCAAUGGAGGCAACUCUGACCCAGCCAUGCCGCGUGCAGGAAGACGGCCCUAUGGGUUGUAAACUGCUUUUAAUAGGGAUUAAAGUCGACUACGUGUAGUUGUUUGCAAGUACCUAUAGAAUAAGCAUCGGCUAACUCCGUGCCAGCAGCCGCGGUAAA